rnacentral:tRNA from 1 species
GCAUUGGUGGUUUAGUGGUAGAAUUCUCGCCUCCCACGCAGGAGACCUGGGUCUGAUUCCCGGCCAACGCA